AGUCGAACGGAAAGGCCCCUUCGGGGGUACUCGAGUGGCGAACGGGUGAGUAACACGUGGGUGAUCUGCCCUGCACUUUGGGAUAAGCCUGGGAAACUGGGUCUAAUACCGAAUAGGACCGCAUGCUUCAUGGUGUGUGGUGGAAAGCUUUUGCGGUGUGGGAUGGGCCCGCGGCCUAUCAGCUUGUUGGUGGGGUAAUGGCCUACCAAGGCGACGACGGGUAGCCGGCCUGAGAGGGUGUCCGGCCACACUGGGACUGAGAUACGGCCCAGACUCCUACGGGAGGCAGCAGUGGGGAAUAUUGCACAAUGGGCGCAAGCCUGAUGCAGCGACGCCGCGUGGGGGAUGACGGCCUUCGGGUUGUAAACCUCUUUCAGUAUCGGCGAAGCUCCAGGAUUUUUCUUGGGGUGACGGUAGGUACAGAAGAAGCACCGGCCAACUACGUGCCAGCAGCCGCGGUAAUACGUAGGGUGCGAGCGUUGUCCGGAAUUACUGGGCGUAAAGAGCUCGUAGGUGGUUUGUCACGUUGUCCGUGAAAACUCACAGCUUAACUGUGGGCGUGCGGGCGAUACGGGCAGACUAGAGUACUGUAGGGGAGACUGGAAUUCCUGGUGUAGCGGUGGAAUGCGCAGAUAUCAGGAGGAACACCGGUGGCGAAGGCGGGUCUCUGGGCAGUAACUGACGCUGAGGAGCGAAAGCGUGGGGAGCGAACAGGAUUAGAUACCCUGGUAGUCCACGCCGUAAACGGUGGGUACUAGGUGUGGGUUUCCUUCCUUUAGGGAUCCGUGCCGUAGCUAACGCAUUAAGUACCCCGCCUGGGGAGUACGGCCGCAAGGCUAAAACUCAAGAAAAUUGAC
rnacentral:rRNA from 1 species